GAAAGACCUAGCAUGGAAAAGUUCCUGUGCCCAGCAUGCGUAUUUUGGCGCUGACUCCCCUACUACACUAUCCAUCUAUUGAUUUGGUUGAGAAAACAGAUGGAUCUUGGAGCACGAUCAGCCAGCUGACUGCAUUUGCAACUGCUGUUCAGAUGUGGUAUCAUUGCUUGAGCAAAUCAACACAUCUCCUGGUACCAGG